CCUACGGGAGGCAGCAGUGAGGCAUAUUGGUCACUGGCCGUAAGGCUGAACCAGCCAAGUAGCGUGAGGGAAGACUGCCCUAUGGGUUGUAAACCUCUUUUAUGCGGGGAUAAAGGUGUCCACGUGUGGAGGUUUGCAGGUACAGCAUGAAUAAGGACCGGCUAAUUCCGUGCCAGCUGCCGCUGUACUACGGCAGGUCCGGGCGUUAUCCGGAUUUAUUGGGUUUAAAGGGAGCGUAGGCCGGUCUUUAAGCGGGCCGUGAAAUUUUGUGGCUCAACCAUGAGAGUGCGGCGCGAACUGGAGACCUUGAGUGCGCGGAAGGCAGGCGGAAUUCGGGGUGUAGCGGUGAAAGGCUUAGAUAUCACGAAGAACCCCGAUUGCGAAGGCAGCCUGCCGCAGCGUUACUGACGCGGAAGCUCGAAAGCGCGGGUAUCGAACAGGAUUAGAUACCCGGGUAGUC
rnacentral:rRNA from 1 species